UACGGGGGGAGCAAGCGUUGUUCGGAUUUACUGGGCGUAAAGGGCGCGUAGGCGGUCUUCCAAGUCAGUGGUGAAAGCCCGGAGCUCAACUCCGGAACUGCCAUUGAAACUGUAAGACUUGAGGAUGAGAGAGGUGAGUGGAAUUCCCAGUGUAGAGGUGAAAUUCGUAGAUAUUGGGAAGAACACCGGUGGCGAAGGCGGCUCACUGGCUCAUUACUGACGCUCAGGCGCGACAGCGUGGGGAUCAAACAGG
rnacentral:rRNA from 1 species